rnacentral:rRNA from 1 species
AACGAACGCUGGCGGCAGGCCUAACACAUGCAAGUCGAGCGAGGACUUCGGUCCUAGCGGCGGACGGGUGAGUAACGCGUGGGAACGUGCCCUUUGCUUCGGAAUAGCCCUGGGAAACUGGGAGUAAUACCGGAUGAGCCCUUUUGGGGAAAGAUUUAUCGGCGAAGGAUCGGCCCGCGUUGGAUUAGGUAGUUGGUGGGGUAAUGGCCUACCAAGCCGACGAUCCAUAGCUGGUUUGAGAGGAUGAUCAGCCACACUGGGACUGAGACACGGCCCAGACUCCUACGGGAGGCAGCAGUGGGGAAUCUUAGACAAUGGGGGAAACCCUGAUCGAGCCAUGCCGCGUGAGCGAUGAAGGCCUUAGGGUUGUAAAGCUCUUUCAGCUGGGAAGAUAAUGACGGUACCAGCAGAAGAAGCCCCGGCUAACUCCGUG